CGAUUCGGAGGAGGCGAAGAUCCGCGGCGCGCCCUGACUCGGCCGCCUGAGCGUCGCGCGGAGCCAGUGGCGAGACCGACCCCCCGCGUG
rnacentral:ncRNA from 1 species